GUGGGGAAUCUUGCGCAAUGGGCGAAAGCCUGACGCAGCCAUGCCGCGUGAAUGAUGAAGGUCUUAGGAUUGUAAAAUUCUUUCACCGGGGACGAUAAUGACGGUACCCGGAGAAGAAGCUCCGGCUAACUUCGUGCCAGCAGCCGCGGUAAUACGAAGGGGGCUAGCGUUGCUCGGAAUUACUGGGCGUAAAGGGCGCGUAGGCGGACAGCUUAGUCAGAAGUGAAAGCCCAGGGCUCAACCUUGGAAUUGCCUUUGAUACUGGCUGUCUUGAGUUUGGGAGAGGUGAGUGGAACUCCGAGUGUAGAGGUGAAAUUCGUAGAUAUUCGGAAGAACACCAGUGGCGAAGGCGACUCACUGGCCCAAUACUGACGCUGAGGCGCGAAAGCGUGGGGAGCAAACAGGAUUAGAUACCCGAGUAGUCC
rnacentral:rRNA from 1 species